AUUUGGCCCCGAGGGCCAGCAGCCGGGGGCCAGUCUCGCUGCGGAAGCCAGUGUAAUGAAGUGGGAGAUAUUCUGCGCCAUCAGUCAUCUCUGCAAGUGAAUGUCCAAUUUGACAACCACGAGGGCUGACAUGCUGGCUGACAAGAGGAACAUGCGGAUCACUUGGGCGUUUUCAAGGCAGCGAUGAUACGAAAACAAAUGGCUAGCCUUUGGGACCCUUUGAGUCCGGACCUGGUCUCAGAGGAUAGCCGGCUGCAGGAAAAAAGCAAAUUAAAAUCCCUCCGCUAAUGUGUCGGCCGGUAAUGAAAUAAGAAUCUGACACUUACUUGCAUUGAAAUGCAAAAGAGGUGUCCCCCUGUUACCCUGGCAAUUUAUCAUAAAAGGCAGCGAAAUUCUACUUAAUAUACAUGAGGUACAGUGAAUUAUUACCAGGCUCGUCAUUAUAACAAACUUCUCAAAAUACACGCACAAAAGGGUCAAGUAUAUUAUUUUUGCUUGCGUCACUCUAAUGGAUAAUCUAAAUUGCCUGCAGGAGUCGUGAAAUCUGAGGCUCGCUUUGAACUUGUUUUAGUUUAGAGCCCUUUCACUUUGCAUGUUUCUUUCUCUCCCUCUUUUUCUUGCCAGCUUGGUUUUCCUCCUUUGGAAAAGAUAGAGGUUGAGGAUGAUUUUUUUUUUUUUUUUAAGAGAGGGCCAACUGGCUAUAUCAGAAAGAAGGUUAUUUCCAGUCCUCUAAUUCAUCUCUGCCAACACAGUCUCUAGGCUUUAGAUUUUUUUUUCAUUCCAUCUCUCUCUUUAAUGUGGCCUAGUACUGGUUGUACCCCAUUCACCUUGUUAAUACUGCGGAAAAGGGCAAUGCCUUACCGGUGGGAUGCAAAAUAUUAGAAUAUGCACAAUGUUGUUUUAGUCCCUGGGCUAUGAUCUGCUUAGUAGCUGCCAUUAUUUCUUUGGGCUUUCUAUGAAGGAAAAAUAAUUU